UACGUAGGGUGCAAGCGUUGUCCGGAAUUAUUGGGCGUAAAGAGCUCGUAGGCGGUUUGUCGCGUCUGCUGUGAAAACUCGGGGCUUAACUCCGGGCCUGCAGUGGGUACGGGCAGACUAGAGUGCGGUAGGGGAGACUGGAAUUCCUGGUGUAGCGGUGAAAUGCGCAAAUAUCAGGAGGAACACCAGCGGCGAAGGCGCUGCUCUGGGCCGGUACUGACGCUGAGGAGCGAAAGCGUGGGGAGCGAACAGG
rnacentral:rRNA from 1 species